rnacentral:lncRNA from 10 species
AAGCCCAGUGCCUGGCACAAAGCAGGUAGUCAGGAAUUAUUAAUUAUAUUCUUGUAUCACCUUGCCUUUUUCUAAGGAAUUAUACAUUUUUGGAUUUUCUUUUUUUUUUUUUUUUGAUGGAGUCUCACUCUGUUACCCAGGCUGCAAUGCAGUGGCAUGAUCUCAGCUUACUGCAACCUCUGCCUCCUGGGUUCAAGUGAUUCUCCCGCCUUAGACUCCCCGAGUAGCUGGAAUUACAGGCAUAAGCCACCAUGCCCAGCUAAUUUUUGUAUUUUUAGUAGAGAUGGGGUUUCUCCAUGUUGGCCAGGCUGGUCUCAAACUCCUGACCUCAGGUGAUCCACCCACUUUGGCCUCCCAAAGUGCUGGGAUUACAGACGUGAGCCACCAUGCCCUGCCAGGAAUUACACAUUUUUGGAUAGUGCUUCUGCUUCUUCUGUUUCUACUGUUGUCCCUAAGACAAGGCUAAAUUUCAUCAACCUUCCCACUUCAAGAAGACAAUGUGCAAAUCUACAGACUUCGGAGUUAAGAACAAAAUAAAGUACAAGAACAGUGCACUUGCUGUUGGCCCUUCCUGACAGCCAACCACAGGAGGAAGAGCACAGCUAGCACGAGGGGCCAGUGCCAUGAUUGCCAGCAGAGACCCUCCUGAAGGCAGCAGCAGCAAGAGGGGCCCAUGGAACAACACCGCGAGA